rnacentral:rRNA from 1 species
CACGUAGGCACCAAGCGUUGUCCGGAUUUAUUGGGCGUAAAGAGCUCGUAGGCGGUUCGGUUAGUCGGGUGAAAACUUUGGGCUCAACCCAAAGCGUGCACUCGAUACUGCCGUGACUAGAGUUCGGUAGGGGAGUGGGGAAUUCCUAGUGUAGCGGUGAAAUGCGCAGAUAUUAGGAGGAACACCGGUGGCGAAGGCGCCACUCUGGGCCGAAACUGACGCUGAGGAGCGAAAGCGUGGGUAGCAAACAGG